ACGCUGGCGGCAGCCUACACAUGCUAUCCGAGCGGCAGCGGAAAGUAGCUUGCUACUUUGCCGGCGAGCGGCGGACGGGUGAGUAAUGUCUGGGAAACUGCCUGAUGGAGGGGGAUAACUACUGGAAACGGUAGCUAAUACCGCAUAACGUCGCAAGACCAAAGAGGGGGACCUUCGGGCCUCUUGCCAUCAGAUGUGCCCAGAUGGGAUUAGCUAGUAGGUGGGGUAACGGCUCACCUAGGCGACGAUCCCUAGCUGGUCUGAGAGGAUGACCAGCCACACUGGAACUGAGACACGGUCCAGACUCCUACGGGAGGCAGCAGUGGGGAAUAUUGCACAAUGGGCGCAAGCCUGAUGCAGCCAUGCCGCGUGUAUGAAGAAGGCCUUCGGGUUGUAAAGUACUUUCAGCGGGGAGGAAGGUGUUGAGGUUAAUAACCUCAGCGAUUGACGUUACCCGCAAAAGAAGCACCGGCUAACUCCGUGCCAACAGCCGCGGUAAUACAGGAGGGUGCAAGCGUUAAUCGGAAUUACUGCGCGAUAAAGCCGCACGCGGGCGGGUCUGCCAAGUCGGAUGUGAAAAUCCCCGGGUCUCAACCUGGGAACUGGCAUUCGAAACUUUGCAGGCUUAUAGUCUUGGAAAGGGGGGGUAAAAAUUCCAGGGUGUUAGCGGUAAAAUGCGUA
rnacentral:rRNA from 1 species